rnacentral:lncRNA from 1 species
AUAAUAAAUACUUAUAAUGACAAUAAGGAGGAGAAAAUUUAGUAAAUAGAGAAAAUAAAUUUGACAUAUCAAAUUACAUCAAAGUCUUGUUAUAAUAUGAUAUUUUUCAUAAUGUGAUAUAAAUUUGGAUAUGAGAUAUAAAAUUCAAUAAGGAUAAGAAUUAAUUUAACUGUAUCAAGAGUAAGCAAGAAAUGAAAUUAAGAAAUUUG